rnacentral:rRNA from 1 species
UGAAUACGAGAUGCUACGGCGUCGAAGCAGUCUAUGUCAUACUUCCAAGAAAAGCUUGCACUGUCAUAAACAAAUAAUGCCUGUACCAUAACCGACACAGGUGGGUAGGUAGAGUAUACUAAGGGGCGCGAGAUAACUCUCUCUAAGGAACUCGGCAAAAUGACUCCGUAACUUCGGGAGAAGGAGUGCCUUAUUUAUAAGGUUGCAAUAACAAGAUCCAAGCAACUGUUUACCAAAAACACAGGUCUCCGCUAAGUCGUAAGACGAUGUAUGGGGGCUGACGCCUGCCCAGUGCCAGAAGGUUAAAGAAGUUGGUUAGCAUCCGCGAAGCUGAUAACUGAAGCCCUGGUGAACGGCGGCCGUAACAAUAACGGUCCUAAGGUAGCGAAAUUCCUUGUCGGGUAAGUUCCGACCCGCACGAAAGGCGUAAUGAUUUGGAUACUGUCUCGGAGAGGGGCUCGGUGAAAUAGACUUGUCUGUGAAGAUGCGGACUACCUGCACCAGGACAGAAAGACCCUAUGAAGCUUUACUGUAACCUGAAAUUGAAAUUGGACUUUACUUGCGCAGUAUAGGUGGGAGGCGUUGAGAAUAUUCUUGCGGGAUUAUUGGAGCCAUCAGUGAGAUACCACUCUUGUAAUGUUAGAUUUCUAACUUUGUAUCAUUAUCUGGUCAAAGAACAGUUUCAGGCGGGCAGUUUGACUGGGGCGGUCGCCUCCUAAACGGUAACGGAGGCGCACAAAGGUUUCCUCUGAACGGGUAGAAAUCGUAUCUAGAGUGUAAAGGCAUAAGGAAGCUUGACUGUGAGACCUACAAGUCGAGCAGGGACGAAAGUCGGUCUUAGUGAUCUGACGGUGCUGAGUGGAAAGGCCGUCACUCAACGGAUAAAAGUUACUCUAGGAUAACAGGCUGAUCUCCCCCAAGAGUUCACAUCGACGGGGAGGUUUGGCACCUCGAUGUCGGCUCAUCGCAUCCUGGGGCGGUAGUACGUCCCAAGGGUUGGGCUGUUCGCCCAUGAAAGCGGUACGCGAGCUGGGUUCAGAACGUCGUGAGACAGUUCGGUCCAUAUCCGGUGUAGGCGUUAGAAUAUUGAGAGGAGCCUUCUUUAGUACGAGAGGACCGAGAAGGACAUACCUCUGGUGUACCAGUUAUCGUGCCAACGGUAAACGCUGGGUAGCUAUGUGUGGAGUGGAUAACCGCUGAAAGCAUCUAAGUGGGAAGCCCACCUCAAGAUAAGUAUUCUCAC